rnacentral:rRNA from 1 species
GCGGGGGGAUAAAGCCGGAGAAAUCCGGGGUAAUACCGCAUAGCUUGGAGGGGGACAUCCCCGUUCAAGAAAGGAGAGCCAUUCGAGAGGAUGCUCUUCACUUUCGGAGGGGCUUGCGGCCUAUCAGCUAGUUGGGGGGGUGACGGCCUCCCAAGGCGACGACGGGUAGCUGGUCUGAGAGGACGGCCAGCCGGACUGGGACUGAGACACGGCCCAG